AUUGAACGCUGGCGGCAGGCUUAACACAUGCAAGUCGAGCGGGGAAAGGUAGCUUGCUACCUGACCUAGCGGCGGACGGGUGAGUAAUGCUUAGGAAUCUGCCUAUUAGUGGGGGACAACAUCUCGAAAGGGAUGCUAAUACCGCAUACGUCCUACGGGAGAAAGCAGGGGACCUUCGGGCCUUGCGCUAAUAGAUGAGCCUAAGUCGGAUUAGCUAGUUGGUGGGGUAAAGGCCUACCAAGGCGACGAUCUGUAGCGGGUCUGAGAGGAUGAUCCGCCAAACUGGGACUGGGACACGGCCCAGACUCCUACGGGAGGCAGCAGUGGGGAAUAUUGGACAAUGGGGGGAACCCUGAUCCAGCCAUGCCGCGUGUGUGAAGAAGGCCUUUUGGUUGUAAAGCACUUUAAGCGAGGAGGAGGCUACCGAGAUUAAUACUCUUGGAUAGUGGACGUUACUCGCAGAAUAAGCACCGGCUAACUCUGUG
rnacentral:rRNA from 1 species